rnacentral:lncRNA from 1 species
GAGCGUUUGAAUAUUUUGUGCCGUGGGUCAGGAACAGGUAGCAAAGGACGCCGAAUGGAGGCCGCCAUCUUGGUUUUGGUGAGUUGUUUUUUACUUUUUGACUAUUUUGUUGUUUUCUCUACUUCACAACGGCUGCUUUCACGGCCAGUUUGGUCAGCUUGGCAGCCCGCUAACCUCGAUGAUGGAGUACUGGUAGAUGAUCUCGGACGUAGUUCAGAAGAUGACAGGAAGCGUUAUCAGGACCAAAGCCGUGAGGCAGUGAAAUGAAGGUCGUAUCACCCAACAGCCUAGGAUACAGCCCUCGGACGUUAAUCGGCAUGACACUCCCCAUAAUAGACAAUGGUUUUGGAGGCAUGUUAACGCGGGUACGCCAACUACUACGUCUCUCUGUACGGCAUGGAUUGG